rnacentral:rRNA from 1 species
UACGUAGGGGGCAAGCGUUGUCCGGAUUUAUUGGGCGUAAAGAGCGUGUAGGCGGCCAAAUAGGUCGGUUGUGAAAACUGGAGGCUUAACCUCCAGACGUCGACCGAAACCAUCUGGCUAGAGUCCGGAAGAGGAGAGUGGAAUUCCUGGUGUAGCGGUGAAAUGCGCAGAUAUCAGGAGGAACACCGGUGGCGAAGGCGGGUCUCUGGGCCGAUACUGACGCUGAGGAGCGAAAGCGUGGGGAGCGAACAGG